GGACUACCGGGGUAUCUAAUCCUGUUUGCUCCCCACGCUUUCGUGCCUCAGCGUCAGUGUUAGCCCAGAGGGCUGCCUUCGCCAUCGGUGUUCCUCCGCAUCUCUACGCAUUUCACUGCUACACGCGGAAUUCCACCCUCCUCUGCCACACUCCAGCUCGCCAGUUUCCAUGGCCAUUCCCAGGUUAAGCCCGGGGCUUUCACCACAGACACAACGAACCGCCUACGCACGCUUUACGCCCAGUAAUUCCGAUUAACGCUCGCACCCUACGUAUUACCGCGGCUGCUGGCAC
rnacentral:rRNA from 1 species